rnacentral:rRNA from 1 species
AUUGAACGCUGGCGGCAUGCCUAACACAUGCAAGUCGAACGGCAGCACAGCAGUAGCAAUACUGUGGGUGGCGAGUGGCGGACGGGUGAGGAAUACAUAGGAAUCUACCUCGUUGUGGGGGAUAACGUAGGGAAACUUACGCUAAUACCGCAUACGACCGAGAGGUGAAAGUGGGGGACCGCAAGGCCUCACGCGAUGAGAUGAGCCUAUGUCUGAUUAGCUAGUUGGCGGGGUAAAGGCCCACCAAGGCGACGAUCGGUAGCUGGUCUGAGAGGAUGAUCAGCCACACUGGAACUGAGACACGGUCCAGACUCCUACGGGAGGCAGCAGUGGGGAAUAUUGGACAAUGGGCGCAAGCCUGAUCCAGCAAUGCCGCGUGUGUGAAGAAGGCCCUCGGGUUGUAAAGCACUUUUGUACGGGAAGAAAACCCAUUUAUUAAUACUGGAUGGGAAUGACGGUA